rnacentral:rRNA from 1 species
CCUACGGGUGGCAGCAGUGGGGAAUAUUGCGCAAUGGGGGAAACCCUGAACCAGCCAUGCCGCGUGGGUGAAGAAGGUUUUCGGAUUGUAAAACCCUUUUGGUCGUGAAGAUGAUGACGGUAGCGUCUCAAGAAGCACCGGCAAACUCCGUGCCAGCAGCCGCGGUAAUACGAAGGGUGCGAGCGUUGUUCGGAAUCACUGGGCGUAAAGGGAGAGUAGGCGGAUAUGUAAGAUAGCGGUGAAAUGCCGGGGCUCAACCACGGAACUGCCAUUGUGACUAUGAAUCUAGAGUAAUGGAGAGGAAAGCGGAAUACCUGGUGUAGAGGUGAAAUGCGUAGAUAUCGAGAGGAACACUGGUGGCGAAGGCGGCUUGCUGGACAUUAACUGACGCUGAGGCUCGAAAGCAUGGGGAGCAAACAGGAUUAGAUACCCCAGUAGUC